CGACUUGGAGGUUGUGUCCUUGAGGCGUGGCUUCCGGAGCUAACGCGUUAAGUCGACCGCCUGGGGAGUACGGCCGCAAGGUUAAAACUCAAAUGAAUUGACGGGGGCCCGCACAAGCGGUGGAGCAUGUGGUUUAAUUCGAUGCAACGCGAAGAACCUUACCUGGUCUUGACAUCCACGGAAUUUGGCAGAGAUGCCUUAGUGCCUUCGGGAACCGUGAGACAGGUGCUGCAUGGCUGUCGUCAGCUCGUGUUGUGAAAUGUUGGGUUAAGUCCCGCAACGAGCGCAACCCUUAUCCUUUGUUGCCAGCGGUCCGGCCGGGAACUCAAAGGAGACUGCCAGUGAUAAACUGGAGGAAGGUGGGGAUGACGUCAAGUCAUCAUGGCCCUUACGACCAGGGCUACACACGUGCUACAAUGGCAUAUACAAAGAGAAGCGACCUCGCGAGAGCAGGCGGACUUCAUAAAGUAUGUCGUAGUCCGGAUUGGAGUCUGCAACUCGACUCCAUGAGGUCGGAAUCGCUAGUAAUCGUGGAUCAGAAUGCCACGGUGAAUACGUUCCCGGGCCUUGUACACACCGCCCGUCGCACCAUGGGAGUGGGUUGCAAAAGAAGUAGGUAGCUUAACCUUCGGGAGGGCGCUUACCACUUUGUGAUUCAUGACUGGGGUGAAGUCGUAACAAGGUACC
rnacentral:rRNA from 1 species